CUCCUGAUGGGGAGAAGGCUGGAUUCCUCAGGUUCCAGGGGGCCCAGGCUCCCUCCUGGGGGCCCUUUACUCCCUACUCUGCCCCCUCCCCAGCUCCGGCCCUGGCUCUGUGGCCGCCCUGCUUCCUGACAACCCUGCCCAGGAGCCUCAGCUUCUCCCAGCCAGAAACAGGAAGAUGAGAGCUGCCCGCCACCCCCACCACCCAGGCCCAGCUUCCCUAGACCAGCUGACUGGGCCCCUCUUCAUGCCCUACUCCCCUUGUGCUCCAAAGGAUGUGAGUCCACCAAAGGUGAAACCAAGACUGGGCCAACCCACCUGGUGUCUGGGAGGGGCUCUGGCCCCCUCUGACUGCACUGGGGCCAAGGCUCUGUCCAGCUGCCUCUCUGGGGUCCCUCCCUGAGUACCAAGUUGGGUACUGGGCCAAGUUGUACCAAGUUGUACCACCAGUACCAAGUUGGGUCCUGGUACUGGGCCAGGGGUGACUGGUAGUUCGAGGGGCCUUGCAGGAGGGAACCGCCCUGAGGACCCAGGUCUUCCCAUCCCUGCCUCACUUGCCCCAGAAUUGAACUUCUCCACGCAGCUCGGCAGGGCCAGGCUAGCGGAAGAAGAGGCCCGCCCAGACCAGCUCCCGCUCCAGAGAACAGCAUGGAGACAGAGGGCCCCACUGGAAGAGCCACCCUUUGGCUUAAGGAAGGCAGGUGUCGCCAGCCCUUGCCCAGAGGAUACGCUCACCCCAUCAGCACCCAGAGUUUGGGAGCAGAACUAACUGUUCUAGGAGGGGGUGGUCUUGGGAACAGGCGCCACAGAGGGGUCCACAGGCUAUGGGGAGGGGAGUGCCCUGGAGGUACUGGCCGCUGGGGGAGGCGAGCUGGAGCCCAGCAAGCAGGCUGUGGGGGGAGGCGAAGCCCUGGGAGGGCCUUCGCCCCCUUGCCUCCCACUCAGCAGCCCCCAGAGAAACAGCAGCAGCUGUUCCAAAGCUUCCCCGCCCUUCCUCGAGACAGGUGUUGGCUGAAUUCUCACUUCCUCCCAGCCUCAGAGAGCGCCUCCACCCGCUCUCCACCCUGCAGGCCGGUGCUGAGUCAGCAGUGCCUCUUCCUCUCCUCCACUCGGGGAGACCAGCCCCCCCAGAGCGGCUGA
rnacentral:lncRNA from 1 species